UAGAGUUUGAUCCUGGCUCAGAUUGAACGCUGGCGGCAGGCCUAACACAUGCAAGUCGAGCGGAUGAGGGGUGCUUGCACUCUGAUUCAGCGGCGGACGGGUGAGUAAUGCCUAGGAAUCUGCCCGAUAGUGGGGGACAACGUUUCGAAAGGAACGCUAAUACCGCAUACGUCCUACGGGAGAAAGUGGGGGAUCUUCGGACCUCACGCUAUCGGAUGAGCCUAGGUCGGAUUAGCUAGUUGGUGAGGUAAUGGCUCACCAAGGCGACGAUCCGUAACUGGUCUGAGAGGAUGAUCAGUCACACUGGAACUGAGACACGGUCCAGACUCCUACGGGAGGCAGCAGUGGGGAAUAUUGGACAAUGGGCGAAAGCCUGAUCCAGCCAUGCCGCGUGUGUGAAAAAGGUCUUCGGAUUGAAAAGCAUUUUAAUUGGGAGGAAG
rnacentral:rRNA from 1 species